CAGGGAGACAACAAAAUGUUCAAUAUUAUUUUGUCACCUUAGGUCGAUCGGUAUCUCACGUUCUUUAUUUUUUGAGAAUUUCAUUUCCUAAGUUUUUCUAGGUCACACCCAUUUUUUUUCCUGGGCCAUUAGCUCAGGUGGUUAGAGCGCACCCCUGAUAAGGGUGAGGUCCCUGGUUCAAGUCCAGGAUGGCCCAUAUCUCUAUGUUGGGGGUAUAGCUCAGUUGGUAGAGCGCCUGCUUUGCAAGCAGGAUGUCAGCGGUUCGAGUCCGCUUACCUCCACUGAUUACCACCUCUUCCAUAUUCUGUAGAAAGGAAAUUUUUUGAGCUGUGAUCAAUUUCUGAACGAAUCUAGCUUCCUAGUAAUCUUAUUAAGAUGCUGGACUCAUUGAAUUAAUUUCAUUGUUUUCAGAGAACCUUGACAACUGCAUAGAUUAUUUUUGAAGACAAUAAGCAUCUAUAACGAUGCAGAUUUAUUAUUCAUGCGAAUGCAUUAAUAACAAUUCUAUUAAGCUGAUGCUUCAAUUUUGAAGUUAUU
rnacentral:tRNA from 1 species